GCAGGUGGUGCGGAGAAGAAAGUUUAAAGAGGUGCGUGGAUAAGCUCCGUAUAUUUAUGCCCAUAAAAUUGUGGAAGAAAAUACAAUAAAUGUUUGGUAGAGGUUGUCUCUGAGUGGUAAUUAUGUUAUUUUUAUUUUUGUCUUAGAUUUUUCCACAAUGAACAUUUAUUUUCAUAAGAACAAAAAAAGACAAAAGUAAAAAUAACUAAUGCUUAUAUAACAUUUACUCUGCGCCAGGUGUUGCAAAAUGCUUUUGUUGUUGGCUGCAGCGUGCAGCGGCUUGAUGUGGGAUCUCAGUUCGCAGACCAGUAGCAGUGAAGCUCUGAGUCCUGACUGCUGUACCACCAGGGAACUCCCGAUAUAUUAACUGAUUUAAUUCUCACGCAGUCCUAGCAGAAAGUAUCAGUACUCUCAUCAUUUUAUAGAUGAAGAAAGUGAGGCACAGAAAGGUUCCCAAGGUCCCAGAGCCAGUUAAUUACAGAGCCAAGAUGAUAACUGAGACCAUGGCUCCAGAGUCCUUAGGAAAGUAGGUCUCACAGCUUAUCAGGAACUUUUCCUCUCUUUUCUCCUUGUGGAAAAACAGAUUCUUAAAGUUCCCUAAACACCACCUCCUACAUGAAGUCUUCCUGGUCUACCCAUCUUCCUUCAUAGCUGUUAGCUCCUUCCAUGUCAGUACUUCCUUUUUGCAACUGAGUUGCAGUUUGUGCCACACAAGUAGGUUAAGUUGAUUUUGUGUGUGUGUGUGCCAUUUUAACUAUUUUUAAGCAUGCAGUUCAUUGUCAUUAACUACAUUCACAAUGUUGCGCAACCAUCACUGCUGUAUGUUUCCAAAACUUUUUCAUGAGUGCAAGCAGAAACCCUGUUAACUAUUAAGCAAUAACUCCCCAUUCUUCUUUCUCCCCAUUCCUUGGUAACCCCUAACUUACUUUCCGUCUCUAUGGAUUUGCCUGUUCUAGAUAUUUCAUGUCAGCUGAAUUUUACAGUAUAUGUCCUUUUGUGUCUGGCUUAUACUUAGCAUAGUGUUUUCAAAGUUCAUCCAUGUUGUAUGUGUCAGAAAUUCAUUAUGGCUGAUUAAUGUUCUGUUGCAUGGAUAUACCACAUUUUGUUUAUCCAUUCAUCCGUCAAUAAACACUUGGGGAGUUCCCGUUGCAGCUCAGCGAUAAUGAACCCAACUAGUAUCCACGAGGAUCAGGGUUCAAUCCCUGGCCCCGCUCAGUGGGUUAAGGAUCUGGUGUUGCCGAGAGUUUCAGUAUAGGUUGAAGACGUGGCUCAGAGCCUGAGACAUGGGUCAGAUGCUGUGGCUGUGACCUGCAUCUGCAGCUCCAAUUCGACCCUUAGCCUGGGAACUUCCAUAUACUGCAGGUGCAGCCCUAAAAAGGAAAAAAAGACCAACAAGAAAAACCACUUGGGUUGUUUCUACCUUUUGGCUAAUGUAGAUAAUGCUGUAAAGAACACUGGCAUUUAGUGAUCUAUUUUGAGUUCCUCUUUUUUGUUUGUUUGUUUUUGUUUUUUGUCUUUUUGCCUUUUCUAUAGGGCUGUUCCCGCGGCAUAUGGAGGUUCCCAGGCUGGUGGCUACAGCUCCCACUCGAUCCCUAGCUUGGGAACCUCCAUAUGCCGCGGGAGCAGCCCAAGAAAUAGCAAAAAGACAAAAAAAAAAAAACCAAAAAAGACCUUGGUGCUGACUGUUGCUGCAGCCUAAAUGCAGCCCUCCUCUCAAUCCUCGACUGGCUCUUUCCCAUCCUCAGGUUUCAGUUCAAUUCUUUUAAUUUUUUAUCAAUUUGUUUCUUUUAUUUACUUUUUGCUUUUUUGAGGGGCACCUGCAGCAUAUGGAAGUUUCCAGGCAAGGGGUCCAUUCGGAGCUGCAGCUGCUGGCCUACACCACAACAGCAGCAAUGCCAGAUCCUUAACCACUGAAAGAGGCCAGGGAUCGCACCCAAUCCUCAUGGAUAUCAGUUGGGUUCGUAACCCGCUGAGCCACAACGAGAACUCUCAGAUUUCAAUUCAAAUGACACCUCUGGGAGUUCUCUUAUGGUGCAGUGGGUUAGUUAAGGAUCCAGGGUUGUCAGUGCUGCCACUCGGAUCACUGAUGUGGCUUGGAUUCGAUCCCUGGCCCAAGAACUUCCACAUGCCCUGAGCACAGCCAAAACAAAGAAAUGCACUUCUUCAGUGAGUCCUUUCACCACCCUCUAAACCAGUAGCGCUGAUCCUACAGUCACUCUCUAUGUCAUCCCUCUUUUAUUUUCCUUGUAGCACUUAGCACUCUUUGAGAUAGUUUUCUUUACUUGGUGAACUUGUUCAGAGACUGUUUUACUAGAUAUGAGCUCCAGAAGUGUGCACGCCCUGUCUAUCCUGUUUGCUGCUCUGUGCAAACAGUAGUGCUUAGUACACAGUAGGCCUUCAGCAAUUACUAGAUAAAUGAGUGAAUGAAUGCCCGUAUGCAUUUUUUUUUUUUUUUUUCUUUUUUUUUCUUUUUUUUUUUUUUUUUUUGCUAUUUCUUGGGCCGCUCCCGCAGCAUAUGGAGGUUCCCAGGCUAGGGGUUGAAUCGGAGCUGUAGCCCCCGGCCUACGCCAAAGCCACAGCAACUCAGGAUCCGAGCCGCAUCUGCAACCUACACCACAGCUCACGGCAACGCUGGAUUGUUAACCCACUGAGCAAGGGCAGGGACCGAAUCCGAAACCUCAUGGUUCCUAGUCGGAUUCGUUAACCACUGCGCCACAACGGGAACUCCCCCGUAUGCAUUUUUGAAUCAUUUUCGGAUGUCUGUCAAGUCUGUAUGUUAAUGUGUGCUCAACUCAAAUAGGCCUUAUGUCAACUCUGGCUCCCUCCACUCUUCCCUGAGCUCUGGAGGGCAGGAACCAUGUCCAAUCCAUCAUUGCACCUUGGAGCAGUUCUGCAAGUGCACUGCCUACAGUGAAGGGCCAGAAUUUUAAAUUUCCAGUCCACUGCAGACUGGUACUUUUGAAAAAUACAAUAACAAUGUUAGGGAAAUGUCAGCUUGCUAGAAAACUUUCUGAAAGCUUAUUCUCGAUUUCUGUGCUUAUAGUGUCCUGAGCAGGUGAUGAACAGUUUACAGUUUGAGUCACACUGCCUUAGAGGUCCGCACAAUACAUGGUAGGUAGAUGUCAGUGUUUAGAACACUGACUUUUUCUUUCUUCCUCCCUCUCUUUCUUUUCUUCCUUCCCUUCCUUCCUUUCUUCUUUCACCACCCCACAACACAUGGAGUUCCCAAGCCAGGAUCAGAUCUGAGCUGCAGUUGCAACCCAGGCCACAGCUUCGGCAAUGCAGGCUCCUUUAACCCACUGUGCCAGGGUGAGGAUCAAACCUGCAUUCCAGGGCUACAGAAAUGCUGCCCAUCCUGUUGCACCAUAGCAGGAACUCCUGCCUUGACCUCUUAGAAAACCAAGACAUCAUCUACAUGGGAUUAAAGACAAAGAAGGAGGGGAACAGGGGAACAGACUUCGUUUAUUGCAAAACAUCUAGUAAAUGCCAACUGUUAGAUUGAUGCUGUCCACUGGAAAUUUUUUUUUUUAAGGCCGCACCUGCUGCAUAUGAAGUUCCCAGGCUAGGGGCCCAAUCGGAGCUGUAGCUUCCGGCCUUUGCCACAGCCAUAGCAACUUGGGAUCUGAGCCACAAUGCAACUUACACCACAGCUCACAGCAACGCCAGAUCUUUAAUUCAUGGAGCAAGGCCGGGGAUCGAACCCACAUCCUCAUGGAUACUAGUCCAGUUCAUUACCGCUGAGCCACAACAGAACUCCUGCAACUUUUUGCGGCAAUGUAGAUGUUUUAUAACUGUGCUAUCCAAUAUGAUGGCCACUAGCCACAUGUGUCUGUUGAACACUUGUAAUGUGGCAAGUCAAGGAAUCAAAUUUUCUGUUUUUAUUUUAGUUAAUUUAAAUAGCCACAUAUAACUAUUAGCAAACACUUUUUUUUUUCUUUUUUGUAUGUACCUGCUGCAUGUGAAAGUUCCCAGACCAGGGAUCGAACCCACGUCACAGUUGCAGCCUUUGCCACAGCUAUGGCAAUGCCAGACCCUUAACCCACAAGGGAACUUCCUAAUGGCAAAUACUUUUGAUAGUGCAGUUAUAACAAGUUAUAUCUUUGAAAACAAAAUGCCUCCAUCUUUAGCACCUGAUAUCCAAUCAGUUUCCAAGAUGUGUCCGCUCUUCUGCCUAAAUGUUGGUCCAGUCAGACCUUUCUCCAUCCCCCAACUCAGUGGAUAGUAAUCCUGCUCAGAGUCAUGCAUCCUUGAUUUCUCCCUCUCCUUAAAUACUCCCUCUCCCUAAAUAUUCCCUCUGCAACCUCCAAUUUAUCACCACAUCCUCUCAGUAUUAUCUCUUAAGCACCUUACAGUCCCCUCUAAUUCUCCAUCUCUACCACCACCAUUACCUCUCACCUAGACAGUAGCCCCCAAACCAGCUUCCUUGCAUCAGGUCUUGCUCACCAUUCCCAGCCCCUAGUGCUCUUCGGAAAACCCUUGAGUGGCUCCCCAUUAUUUAUUAGGAUAAAGACAAACCUCUUCCUGAGCCUACAACCCCCUCCAUAGUCCUUGGUCUGGCCCUAUUCCUACUGCUGACUAGGUCAAACCCUUCCUUCCUUCCUUCCUUCUCACUCUCUUUCUCGCUUGCUUUCUUUCUUUUUUUUUUUUUUUUUCAUUUUUUCAUAGAAGGCUGUCUUGAUCAAUGCAGUUCUUCUUUGAGCAUCAGGCAUAGUUUCUUUCUUUUUUUUUUUUAGUUUUUAGGGCCGUACCUGUGGCAUAUGGAGGUUCCCAGGCUAGGGGUCAAAUCGGAGCUAGAGCUGCUGGCCUACAUCUCAGCCACAGCAAAGGCAGAACGGAACCGCAUCUGCAACCUACACCACAACUCACAGCAACGCUGGAUCCUUAACCCACUGAGCAAGGCCAGGGAUCAAACCUGCAACCUCAUGGUUAUUAGUUGGAUUCGUUUCUGCUGCACCAUGAUGGGAACUCCAGGCACAGUUUCAACUUUACUUUCAUUUGUAUUGAGUUGAUUAAUGGUCUUCCACACUCCCCCAACUAGACUACCAGCUCUGUGAGGACCAAGAAUGGGCUGGUUUUGCUCAACAUUUUAUUCCCCUGCCUCACACCUGGUGAUGAUGUUCAAUAAAUAUUUGUUAUAACGGCAGUUUAGGGAGUUCCCUGGUGGCUCAGCAGGUUAAGCCAGCAUUGUCACUGCUGUAGCUCUGGUUACUGCUGUGGUGAAGAUUUGAUCCCUGGUCCAGAAAGCUCUGCAUGCCAAGGGCGUGGCCAAAAAAAAAAAAAAAAAAAAAAAAAAA
rnacentral:lncRNA from 1 species